rnacentral:ncRNA from 1 species
GAUUAUCGAAGGAUUACUAGACCUGAAUUCAUAAUC